UACGUAGGGUGCGAGCGUUGCCCGGAUUCAUUGGGCGUAAAGCGCGCGCAGGCGGAUGCACGCGUCCCGCGUGAAAUCGCCCGGCUCAACCGGGCGGGGUCGGCGGGGAUACGGUGCGUCUGGAGCACGGGAGGGGGCAGUGGAAGUUCCCGGUGUCGAGUGGUGGGAAUGCGUAGAGAUCGGGAGGAACACCAGUGGCGAAGGCGACUGCCUGGACCGUGGCUGACGCUGAGGCGCGAAAGCGUGGGGAGCGAUCCGG
rnacentral:rRNA from 1 species